AACGAACGCUGGCGGCAUGCCUAACACAUGCAAGUCGAACGAAGUCUUCGGACUUAGUGGCGCACGGGUGCGUAACGCGUGGGAAUCUGCCCUUGGGUGCGGAAUAACUUCUCGAAAGGGAUGCUAAUACCGCAUAAUGUCGUAAGACCAAAGAUUUAUCGCCCAAGGAUGAGCCCGCGUAAGAUUAGCUAGUUGGUGGGUAAAAGCCUACCAAGGCGACGAUCUUUAGCUGGUCUGAGAGGAUGAUCAGCCACACUGGGACUGAGACACGGCCCAGACUCCUACGGGAGGCAACAGUGGGGAAUAUUGGAC
rnacentral:rRNA from 1 species